UGACCCCCAAUGUUCUACCUGGCCCUGCCAGUCCGUGGUGUUCACCAGGAUGACAUUCUCAGGGAGCGCUGCAUCGGAAACCAGGAUCUGAUUCAGUUGAUCGUAUACCACCUUUCGUGGAAUCUGUAGGAACAAGUUGGGCAGGAGAACAGCACGGAUGGCUUCUUGCCCUGGUUCUGAUACCAGUGUUACAUGAGGACACACACACUCCUCAACUCUGGUUUAUGCUCACGACUUCAACUAACCUCAGGGUUGAGAGGAGCCUAAGAAGAGCUUGGAAUAACCAUGGCAGCAUUGGCAGAGGAGCAAUGCUAAUGGUUCUUUUCACCACCACUCAACUGGACCCCAAAUUCCACACGGCAGAGGAUAACAAGUGUGGUGGCUUCUCUAACUUAGAUGUCCCAGAAAGAAGUCAACAUCCCUCCUUAUUCUCCACCCAGCUGUCAAAGAAACAGACUAAAAUCCAAGAAAGGGGUCCUGAACCU
rnacentral:lncRNA from 1 species